AACCUAGCACACCUGCGGUGUGUACCUGCGGAGGGAUCAUUACUGAGUGUAAAAACUCCCAAACCCACUGUGAACAUACCACUGUUGCUUCGGCGGAUGCGCCCCGGGCGCGCCCUACAAAGGCGUGCCCCGGAUCAAGGCCACCGCCGGGGGACCGAAACUCUUGUUUUCCUAAGGAUUCUCUGAGUGUGAUUAUUAAAUCAAAUCAAAACUUUCAGCAAUGGAUCUCAGAUCGGAAGA
rnacentral:misc_RNA from 1 species